GGGGAUGACAGGCUUCGACAGGGAACAUUGGACGGAGAUCGCAAGCCGAGGUGCUCCACCUCGAAAAACAGGGGCAACCUAACAAUAAACGGCGAGCAUCAACUCGCUCUGGCUGCGUAAGCAGCCACGCUCCCCCGGCCUCGCUCUGGCGGGUCGGGAUCGAGUGUCAUAAGGCUGGAGUGCGCCGGUCUGGACGCCGAUAGGGUCCGGCAAAGGGGGAAACCCGGCAUCGGCUAGCUGUCGAGGUACUCGGUCGGCAGGAGGGCCUCGGGGGCGAAAAAGCCAAAACGCCGAAUAAGCUUGUAGAAGUCUUCGGCCUAAUUCUCUGGACGCGGGUUCGAUUCCCGCCAUCUCCACUC
rnacentral:tmRNA from 1 species